CGGAUGGUCAUGCGUCGCAUUAGCUAGUUGGCGGGGUAACGGCCCACCAAGGCGACGAUGCGUAGGGGUUCUGAGAGGAAGGUCCCCCACACUGGUACUGAGACACGGACCAGACUCCUACGGGAGGCAGCAGUGAGGAAUAUUGGUCAAUGGCCGCAGGGCUGAACCAGCCAAGUCGCGUGAGGGAUGACGGUCCUAUGGAUUGUAAACCUCUUUUGUCAGGGAGCAAAGGACGCCACGUGUGGCGUUUUGCGAGUACCUGAAGAAAAAGCAUCGGCUAACUCCGUGCCAGCAGCCGCGGUAAUACGGAGGAUGCGAGCGUUAUCCGGAUUUAUUGGGUUUAAAGGGUGCGCAGGCGGAAUGUCAAGUCAGCGGUAAAAUUUCGGGGCUCAACCCCGUCGUGCCGUUGAAACUGGCGUUCUUGAGUGAGCGAGAAGUAUGCGGAAUGCGUGGUGUAGCGGUGAAAUGCAUAGAUAUCACGCAGAACUCCGAUUGCGAAGGCAGCAUACCGGCGCUCAACUGACGCUCAUGCACGAAAGCGUGGGUAUCGAACAGGAUUAGAUACCCUGGUAGUCCACGCAGUAAACGAUGAAUACUAACUGUCCGGGCCGAUUGAGGUCUGG
rnacentral:rRNA from 1 species